rnacentral:ncRNA from 1 species
UUAAAGGAGUGUAAAAACACAGAUCGGUUGGUAGUCCGGUCGCACAGGGUCAGUUCCAGUGUCAGUGACCUUCCCCCCUCGGGAUGUCCAUCACUCCAGUAUAAACA